AUUGAACGCUGGCGGCAGGCCUAACACAUGCAAGUCGAGCGGAUGAAGGGAGCUUGCUCCUGGAUUCAGCGGCGGACGGGUGAGUAAUGCCUAGGAAUCUGCCUGGUAGUGGGGGAUAACGUCCGGAAACGGGCGCUAAUACCGCAUACGUCCUGAGGGUGAACGUGGGGGAUCUUCGGACCUCACGCUAUCAGCUGAGCCUAGGUCGGAUUAGCUAGUUGGUGUGGUAAAGGCCUACCAAGGCGACGAUCCGUAACUGGUCUGAGAGGAUGAUCAGUCACACUGGAACUGAGACACGGUCCAGACUCCUACGGGAGGCAGCAGUGGGGAAUAUUGGACAAUGGGCGAAAGCCUGAUCCAGCCAUGCCGCGUGUGUGAAGAAGGUCUUCGGAUUGUAAAGCACUUUAAGUUGGGAGGAAGGGAAGUAAGUUAAUACCUUGAUGUUUUGACGUUACCAACAGAAUAAGCACCGGCUAACUUCGUG
rnacentral:rRNA from 1 species